rnacentral:sRNA from 1 species
GGAAGGAUCAUUACAGAAUUGUCAACGGGUUGUUGCUGGUCCUCGAAUGGGGACACGUGCACGCUCUGUUUACACAUCCACUCACACCUGUGCACCCUCCGUAGUUCUGUGGUCUGGGGGACCCUGUCUUCCUGCCGUGGUUCUACGUCUUUACACACACACUGUAAUAAAGUCUUAUGGAAUGUAUGCCGCGUCUAACGCAAUACAAUACAACUUUCAGCAACGGAUCUCUUGGCUCUCGCAUCGAUGAAGAACGCAGCGAAAUGCGAUAAGUAAUGUGAAUUGCAGAAUUCAGUGAAUCAUCGAAUCUUUGAACGCACCUUGCGCCCCUUGGCUAUUCCGAGGGGCAUGCCUGUUUGAGUAUCAUGAACACCUCAACUCUCAUGGUUCGCCGUGAUGAGCUUGGACUCUGGGGGUUUUGCUGGCCUGCGGUCGGCUCCCCUCAAAUGAAUCAGCCUCCCAGUGUUUGGUGGCAUCACGGGUGUGAUAAAUAUCUACGCUCGCAGUUGUCCGCCAGGUAACCUUUGGCGACAAAGGUCCGCUGGAGCUCACAGAUGUCUCUCCUCGGCGAGGACAGCUUUUUGAACGUUCGAUCUCAAAUCAGGUAGGACUACCCGCUGAACUUAAGCAUAUCA